rnacentral:rRNA from 1 species
GACGAACGCUGGCGGCGUGCUUAACACAUGCAAGUCGAACGAAGAGCGAUGGAAGCUUGCUUCUAUCAAUCGGAGUGGCGAACGGGUGAGUAACGCGCAACGAACCCUCCCUUCAGAGGGGGACAACAGUUGGAAACGACAGCUAAUACCGCAUACGAUCUAAUCGCGGCAUCCAGGAUAGCUUAAAGGUGGCCGCGACAUGUAGGGUAGCACUGGGGUUGGGGAGUGGGCCGGAUAAGCUAGCUGGAGGGGGAAGGGCCCAACAAGGCGAUGAUCAGUAGCCGGUCUGAGAGGAUGGACGGCCACAUUGGGACUGGGACCCGGCCCAGACUCCUACGGGAGGCAGCAGUGGGGAAUCUUCCGCCAUGGACGAAAGGCUGACGGAGCAACGCCGCGUGAGUGAUGACGGCCUUCGGGUUGUAAAGCUCUGUUAAUCGGGACGAAAGGCCUUCUUGCGAACAGUUAGAAGGAUUGACGGUACCGGAAUAGAAAGCCACGGCUAACUACGUG